GACGUAGGGCGCGAGCGUUGUCCGGAUUUAUUGGGCGUAAAGAGCUCGUAGGCGGUUUGUCGCGUCGUCCGUGAAAACUCACAGCUUAACUGUGAGCUUGCGGUCGAUACGGGCAGGCUAGAGUUCGGUAGGGGAGACUGGAAUUCCUGGUGUAGCGGUGAAAUGCGCAGAUAUCAGGAGGAACACCGGUGGCGAAGGCGGCUCACUGGCCCGGUACUGACGCUGAGGUGCGAAAGCGUGGGGAGCAAACAGG
rnacentral:rRNA from 1 species